UGUCUCCAUUAUUGUUCCUGCAACAACACGAGUGAAUGGAUCCCCAAUUUGCAUCAACUUGGACCACCGUAGAAUUGAAGCAAAUGUUUUGUCUUGGAUAUUUAUUUCAUCUUGUCGUUCAUCAUUAAUUGAGACGGGUUCUUUUCUUAAUAUUUUCAUAGCUCGUGCAAAACCAUACAAUGCUUUCUCCCCCGCCAAUGGACCUUCAAACUCCAUGGAAGUUGAACCAGACAUUUUCCCCAUUGAAGAUUCAUUAGCACCAUUAUUGAUUACUUCUUCAAUCGUAAUAGUUGUUUUUCUUUCACUCCCUGAACUGAAACGAGAUUUCGUCAAUGUCAACACCGAUGUUUUGCGGAGAGCAUGGAGGCUGACAUACAACAUGGAAGAGGCCAUGUUUGAUAUGCAUGUACGUCGUACUGGCUGGGUACAGAAAAAAGUUGGUGUUGGAGGGGGUCCUGAGAGUGUUGCUGACCACAUGUACAGAAUGGCUGUGCUGUCUUUCCUUGUAGACCCUGGGGCAGGAUUAGAUAAACACAGGUGUAUGAAGAUUGCUCUAGUUCACGACAUGGCUGAGUGUAUUGUGGGUGAUAUUACACCACAGGAUGGCAUCAGCAAGGAGGACAAACAUAAGAAGGAGAAGACAGCCAUGAAACACAUCUGCAGUCUGGUGGAAGAGAGUGUUGGGCAAGAGAUCUACAGUCUGUGGCAGGAAUAUGAAGAUCAGAGUAGUAAAGAAGCAGAGUUUAUAAAAGAUAUAGACAGGUUUGAAAUGAUCCUACAAGCAUUUGAGUAUGAACAGAUGGACAUGAAACCGAGAUACCUUCAAGAUUUCUUCGACAGCACAAAAGCAUCAAGGGGCGAAAUCCAUUCAGGUACUGAAAAGCAGUCUUCUGGCCUGUCAAGUCGCUCCUUCAGGGACACAAGUCUGUUCUCUUUCUCAAUGUAGACAGCCUUUCUUGGUGGUGGGGCUGCUCCAGAGAGAUUUCCAUCACUUUUGUAUUUGGGAUGUGGAUAAGGUUAAAGAGAUGGCUGAAUGAUCCGAUUUGUAGACUGCUGAUAUAUUUGCAUCUAGUGUAAUAUUACUUACAUUUUCUGAUAUUAAAAAGAAGUCUAGUCUACCUUGUUGUCGCGGGUUCUUUUUCCACCAGGUAUAUUUAUUAAAAGUAGGGUUAAGUUCUCUCCAAAUAUCAUGAAGAUUAUAUCUCUCCAUAUUUUCUAUAAUAAAAUUUCGCGCUUUAGGGUUGUUGAUAUGUUUAUAAUUUUCAAGAUCUAUGUUUGGAUCUAUUACCAAAUUCCAAUCACUACAUAUAUCCCAAGAGUCAUUUUCAAAUUCUAGCAUAUCUGUAAAUAAUUGUUUAUAAAAAUUUGGAUCAUCAUUA